rnacentral:rRNA from 1 species
GAUGAACGCUGGCGGCGUGCCUAAUACAUGCAAGUCGAGCGAACAGACGAGGAGCUUGCUCCUUUGACGUUAGCGGCGGACGGGUGAGUAACACGUGGGUAACCUACCUAUAAGACUGGGAUAACUUCGGGAAACCGGAGCUAAUACCGGAUAAUAUUUCGAACCGCAUGGUUCGAUAGUGAAAGAUGGCCCUGCUAUCACUUAUAGAUGGACCUGCGCCGUAUUAGCUAGUUGGUAAGGUAACGGCUUACCAAGGCAACGAUACGUAGCCGACCUGAGAGGGUGAUCGGCCACACUGGAACUGAGACACGGUCCAGACUCCUACGGGAGGCAGCAGUAGGGAAUCUUCCGCAAUGGGCGAAAGCCUGACGGAGCAACGCCGCGUGAGUGAUGAAGGUCUUCGGAUCGUAAAACUCUGUUAUUAGGGAAGAACAAACGUGUAAGUAACUGUGCACGUCUUGACGGUACCUAAUCAGAAAGCCACGGCUAACUACGUGCCAGCAGCCGCGGUAAUACGUAGGUGGCAAGCGUUAUCCGGAAUUAUUGGGCGUAAAGCGCGCGUAGGCGGUUUUUUAAGUCUGAUGUGAAAGCCCACGGCUCAACCGUGGAGGGUCAUUGGAAACUGGAAAACUUGAGUGCAGAAGAGGAAAGUGGAAUUCCAUGUGUAGCGGUGAAAUGCGCAGAGAUAUGGAGGAACACCAGUGGCGAAGGCGACUUUCUGGUCUGUAACUGACGCUGAUGUGCGAAAGCGUGGGGAUCAAACAGGAUUAGAUACCCUGGUAGUCCACGCCGUAAACGAUGAGUGCUAAGUGUUAGGGGGUUUCCGCCCCUUAGUGCUGCAGCUAACGCAUUAAGCACUCCGCCUGGGGAGUACGACCGCAAGGUUGAAACUCAAAGGAAUUGACGGGGACCCGCACAAGCGGUGGAGCAUGUGGCUUAAUUCGAAGCAACGCGAAGAACCUUACCAAAUCUUGACAUCCUUUGACCCUUCUAGAGAUAGAAGUUUCCCCUUCGGGGGACAAAGUGACAGGUGGUGCAUGGUUGUCGUCAGCUCGUGUCGUGAGAUGUUGGGUUAAGUCCCGCAACGAGCGCAACCCUUAAGCUUAGUUGCCAUCAUUAAGUUGGGCACUCUAAGUUGACUGCCGGUGACAAACCGGAGGAAGGUAGGGAUGACGUCAAAUCAUCAUGCCCCUUAUGAUUUGGGCUACACACGUGCUACAAUGGACAAUACAAAGGGCAGCGAAACCGCGAGGUCAAGCAAAUCCCAUAAAGUUGUUCUCAGUUCGGAUUGUAGUCUGCAACUCGACUACAUGAAGCUGGAAUCGCUAGUAAUCGUAGAUCAGCAUGCUACGGUGAAUACGUUCCCGGGUCU